rnacentral:rRNA from 1 species
CUGCUGCCUCCCGUAGGAGUCUGGGCCGUAUCUCAGUCCCAAUGUGGCCGUUCAACCUCUCAGUCCGGCUACUGAUCGUCGACUUGGUAGGCCUUUACCCCACCAACUAUCUAAUCAGACGCAAGCCCAUCUGUUAGCGGAUUUCUCCUUUCCUAUUUGUACCAUGCAGUACUUAUAGUAUAUGCGGUAUUAGCAAUGAUUUCUCAUUGUUAUUCCCCUCUAACAGGCAGGUUGCUUACGUGUUACU